UGAUGCUGUGUUCUCUAUUUCGUGUGCGUGAGUUAUCGUUAAUAAACCAAAAAGACAAAAAAGAUUCUUUCGCCUUUUACUAAAGAAUUCCGUGGAGAGGAGCAGUUCAAUGAGUCUUGAACAUUUUUCGAUAUCCGACUUUGGUCGGUUU
rnacentral:snRNA from 1 species